UGAGGGUGUGUGAGACUCCCGAGAGAUGAUCGGGUUGAUAGGCCAGGUGUGGAAGCGUGGUAACACGUGGAGCUGACUGGUACUAAGAGUCGAAGACAAUAACACAC
rnacentral:rRNA from 1 species